rnacentral:rRNA from 1 species
CCUACGGGGGGCUGCAGUGGGGAAUAUUGCACAAUGGGGGAAACCCUGAUGCAGCGACGCCGCGUGAAGGAAGAAGGUCUUCGGAUCGUAAACUUCUAUCAGAAGGGAAGAAUAUUGACGGUACCUUAGGAGGAAGCCCCGGCUAACUACGUGCCAGCAGCCGCGGUAAUACGUAGGGGGCUAGCGUUAUCCGGAAUUACUGGGCGUAAAGGGUGCGUAGGCGGCCCUUCAAGUCAGAGGUGAAAGGCUACGGCUCAACCGUAGUAAGCCUUUGAAACUGUAGGGCUUGAGUGCAGGAGAGGAGAGUGGAACUCCCAGUGUAGCGGUGAAAUGCGUAGAUAUUGGGAGGAACACCAGUUGCGAAGGCGGCUCUCUGGACUGUAACUGACGCUGAGGCACGAAAGCGUGGGGAGCGAACAGGAUUAGAUACCCGGGUAGUC